rnacentral:rRNA from 1 species
AUUGAACGCUGGCGGCAGGCCUAACACAUGCAAGUCGAACGAGUGGCGGACGGGUGAGUAAUGUCUGGGAAACUGCCUGAUGGAGGGGGGUAACUACUGGAAACGGUAGCUAAUACCGCAUACCAUCGGAUGUGCCCAGAUGGGAUUAGCUAGUAGGUGGGGUAACGGCUCACCUAGGCGACGAUCCCUAGCUGGUCUGAGAGGAUGACCAGCCACACUGGAACUGAGACACGGUCCAGACUCCUACGGGAGGCAGCAGUGGGGAAUAUUGCGCAAUGGGCGCAACCCUGAUGCAGCCAUGCCGCGUGAAUGAAGAAGGCCUUCGGGUUGUAAAGUUCUUUCGGCGAGGAGGCGUUACUCACAGAAGAAGCACCGGCUAACUCCGUGCCAGCAGCCGCGGUAAUUC